rnacentral:piRNA from 1 species
UUGUACAACUUGGAGAUAUUGAAUUUACAG